CAGAAAAUGCCACAAAAAAUCCGCAAAAUUGCGAACAAUGGAAAAAAUUGUUUUGUUUUUGAAUUUAUAAGAAUAAUUCAUAUAGGCAAAAAUCACGUGCUCACCCAUCUGAUCUUGGAAAGGUAAAUAGAGUGUACUUUUCUUAUUAGAAGUUAGAACCUGUUCAAUAUUUGUUCAUUGACUGUGGUUGCAAACUUUUUGGAAAGGUGUGGUUGCAAACUUUUUGUUCACAGAGUGUGCUUUUCUUAUUAGAACCUGUUUAAUAUUUUGCUGGUGUCUAGUGCCUAAUAUAGCGCUUAAUUAAUUAAGCUUCCUAUAUACAUGCAUGCUACAAAAACAACUAUAGCUGAACUUGAUAUGAAUUUAUAUAUUACUGUUAAAGUUUUCAAAAAAUCUGCAUAGAUGUUUUUGCCGAUGACUUUGUAUAGAUUCUUUAAUUGUGAUUUUAGUUCUAUGACUGGAGUACUUUUCUUUUCUUUUCUGAAAUGCCUCCAACUCUGAAUCAACAGCAGUUGUUUCUUGUGUAGCGUUUGCAACGUGUCCUACUACUGCUACUGCUGCAUGAUUAGCAGUUAUUGCUCAAUCAGCUGGAGCACUACUAUGUUUUCCAGUUUUUUGACUUGUUCUGCCACUGGUAUUACUUGUAACUUACCCCCAAUAGCUGCUCGAUUUGAAACUUUCUCCUGUAAAUUUGUUGACCUUCACUACCUUGUAAUCUUAACACCUGCUGCUGCCCAAUGUUUCUGUUAUCUUCUGAAUCUUGGACCAAAUAAUCUGUCGUGCUCUUUUUGCAUUGAAAUUUCCCAAUUUUGAUCUCCUUUUUGGUUUAAGCUACCUAGGUAUCUGCUUCCAUCUAUAAAUACCAAAAUAAAGGAAUGGAGGCCAACUUUGAACAUGGAUAGAGUUGUUGGCAGAUGUUAUUUGUAUCUCUUAUUUAGCCAGUGUUAUUUAUUUUUCUACACAAUACUUGAAACUUCAUUCAAAAUUUAAACUGCUACUCAUUUCUCUCUUUUUAAAAACUCUUUACAUUAAGUGAUUGCAGGCUCAACAUUGUCAUUAUAGUUGCGUGCAUAUUAGUUGAACAAUGCAUUAUUUUUCCACACCAGAAAAGCUUAUUUUUUCACAAAGGCGAGAAGUAAUAGGAAUACAACAAACCGGGCUAAGUUGAAGAUGCUUCAUCAUAUUAGUAGUAAGCUUAUUCGAGAGAUAAUUUAUCAAAAGGUAUUAUCAUAAAAUCUCUAUUUUCCUGAAGGAAAUAUUUACGAGGCGUUUCUUGACAUAUUUUCCUUUGAUGUAAAGGGUGGGAAAGAUGGCAAUCCACCAGAUUUGGCAACAAUCUUUUUGAGACUCUUAAGAAAAAUAACAAGCUUGUUGAACUUGAAGCAAUUGAAAAACAUGAAUGUUUGGUAAAAUGAAUAUGUAAAUUACUUGAAAUUAUUAUUGCUUCUAUCUGAUAGAAGACAAAAAAAAGAUAUCCUUAAUUUUCCAUCACUCUAAAAAUGUUGUAUACUUAUUUGAUCAACCAAUUGGAGCUACAAAUGCUGACAAUACUUCAUCACCUCUUUGUUAUAAAUGAGAAUAUCCUUUGUAAACUUGAAUGAAGGAAAUCUAGCAACUCUUUUAUUAUGGGUGGUAUUUCAUAUUUGCCUUCUAUAUUCAUAAGUCUACAUCCUUUGGCCCUUUAAGCAAGUAUGUGGUUAACUUGGAUGUUGUUUUGCUCUAUAGUGACUUAUUCAUCUUAUCUGGUUUCUCAGUUACCUUGUUGCUGCUGUUGAUAUGUCACAAGUAGCUAUAGUGAUCUUAUCUGCAAGCUUCAAACUUUCCUUGUUCUCCAUUUAAAGAUUCACUUUGAUUCUCUGAUUCUUCUUUUCCUUUUGCACAUUGCUUUUUACCGUGCAAUUUGAAAUCCAAGUCUCCAAAACUUUUUUAAUUAAUUUUCUUAUAUUCCUGUAGCCUUGUUGAUAUUGCUAGAUAACACCUCAAGAAUUUAGACUGCCUUUGGAGUUUUGAAGAUUAAAGCUACAAGUGAAGAUUCAAGUUUGGAAGAUACACAAGCUCAUUAUUUUAUUGCUAGGAAUGUUAUGUAAAACUUUAUAUCAUAGUCUAGCUCAGGAUGUUAGUUAUAAUUUUUUUUAUUAAGGUGUUGAGGAAAUAUUGAAACUAACAUUAUCGGAUGUUAACAUUGUAACUAAUAACUUUAUUUCUAUAUUAUAUAUAUUACCUUUUUUA